rnacentral:rRNA from 1 species
GACGUAGGGCGCGAGCGUUGUCCGGAUUUAUUGGGCGUAAAGAGCGCGUAGGCGGCUAGGUAAGUCCGACGUGAAAUCUGGAGGCUCAACCUCCAGCGGUCGUUGGAAACUACUUGGCUAGAGUCCGGAAGAGGAGAGUGGAAUUCCUGGUGUAGCGGUGAAAUGCGCAGAUAUCAGGAAGAACACCGAUGGCGAAAGCAGCUCUCUGGGACGGUACUGACGCUGAGGCGCGAAAGCGUGGGGAGCGAACAGG